rnacentral:rRNA from 1 species
GACGAACGCUGGCGGCGUGCUUAACACAUGCAAGUCGAACGGUAAGGCCCCUUCGGGGUUACACGAGUGGCGAACGGGUGCGUAACACGUGGGUGAUCUGCCCUGCACUUCGGGAUAAGCCUGGGAAACUGGGUCUAAUACCGGAUAGGACCACGCUCUGCAUGGAGUGUGGUGGAAAGCUUUUGCGGUGUGGGAUGGGCCCGCGGCCUAUCAGCUUGUUGGUGGGGUGAUGGCCUACCAAGGCGACGACGGGUAGCCGGCCUGAGAGGGUGGCCGGCCACACUGGGACUGAGAUAAGGCCCAGACUCCUACGGGAGGCAGCAGUGGGGAAUAUUGCACAAUGGGCGCAAGCCUGAUGCAGCGACGCCGCGUGGGGGAUGACGGCCUUCGGGUUGUAAACCUCUUUCAGUACCGACGAAGCGCAAGUGACGGUAGGUACAGAAGAAGCACCGGCCAACUACGUG